rnacentral:rRNA from 1 species
GACGAACGCUGGCGGCGUGCUUAACACGUGCAAGUCGAACGGAAAGGCCUGCUUUCCCUUGUGGAUUGCGGGUACUCGAGUGGCGAACGGGUGAGUAACACGUGAGUGAUCUGCCCCCAACUUGGGUAUAAGCCUGGGAAACUGGGUCUAAUUCCCGAUAGGACUGCAGGGUGGUGCCUGUGGUGGAAAACGAUUUUCUAGUGGUUGGGGAUGAGCUCGCGGCCUAUCAGCUUGUUGGUGGGGUAAUGGCCUACCAAGGCGGCGACGGGUAGCCGGCCUGGGAGGGUGGACGGCCACAUUGGGACUGAGAUACGGCCCAGACUCCUACGGGAGGCAGCAGUGGGGAAUAAUGCACAAUGGGCGGAAGCCUGAUGCAGCGACGCCGCGUGGGGGAUGACGGCCUUCGGGUUGUAAACUCCUUUCGACCGCGAGGAAGCCACCUGGUUGGAAGGGUGGUGACGGUAGUGGUAGAAGAAGCACCGGCUAACUACGUG